rnacentral:rRNA from 1 species
UACGUAGGCAGCGAGCGUUGUUCGGAGUUACUGGGCGUAAAGCGUGCGUAGGCGGUGUCUUAAGUUUGUUGUGAAAUCUCCCGGCUUAACCGGGAGGGUGCGGCGAAUACUGAGAUGCUGGAGUGCGGGAGAGGUAAGCGGAAUUCCUGGUGUAGCGGUGAAAUUCGUAGAUAUCGGGAGGAACACCGGUGGCGAAGGCGGCGAUCUGGGUCGAUACUGACGCUGAGGUGCGAAAGCGUGGGGAGCAAACAGG